rnacentral:rRNA from 1 species
UACGUAGGUGGCAAGCGUUAUCCGGAAUUAUUGGGCGUAAAGCGCGCGCAGGUGGUUCCUUAAGUCUGAUGUGAAAGCCCACGGCUCAACCGUGGAGGGUCAUUGGAAACUGGGGAACUUGAGUGCAGAAGAGGAAAGUGGAAUUCCAAGUGUAGCGGUGAAAUGCGUAGAGAUUUGGAGGAACACCAGUGGCGAAGGCGACUUUCUGGUCUGUAACUGACACUGAGGCGCGAAAGCGUGGGGAGCGAACCGG